AUCACCUGCCCCAAUGCUUUGUGGGAAGGUGGCAAUGCUGGUUCUCACAUCCUGCCCUCUCACACUUCCUGUCCCUUGGUCCUGUUGGCCCCCAUCUCCUGCCUUGUAUCAAGGGCUGAAGAAGGACAUUGGCGAAUAAGUACUCCUCUGGCUCCUGCAACUCUGCUGUUGGUCUGACCAAACAUACCUCUCUGGGGGAGAGCAGCUGCAUGGUUAAAGGUCAGCACAAGAGGAAGAGGAGAUCUGCCUACCUUUCCUGGGAAGCUCCAGCCAGAUGACGGAAAAAGUGACUGUUACUUGCUUUUGACUUAUCAAGUGACUCCUCAUCUGUCCAUGAAUGGAUAGUGAGAACCUACAGUGCAUAUUUAGAAGUCAGGCAUGCGCUGGUGUAAAUAACGUUUUAGGAGGUAAGAGUAUAUGUGUUUGGCAAGGUAAGUCAGAUGUAGCUGGAUGGAGUUUCUAGCUGUGAGAAGAAUGCAACAGGUUUUGUCUAAGAUGUGUAUCUGGCUUUUGAUGACUCUGGCAUAAAACAGAAGCAGGGGAGCAGAUGUUGUGGUCCACAGGACUGCACUAAUUAUACGUGAAGUAUCUCACCCUGCAUGCUCCCAGCACCAGGUGCUGGGCAGGUGACUCCUGAUGCCUGCUGGUUGUGAUGCACCCUGGGGGCAGGAUGAGCCAAGGAUGGCUGUUCCAUCUGUGCAGGACAAGCAUG